UCUGCAAAACCUAAACCCCAAGACUCUCAAUAGACGGCAUCCUACUAAUGUCCUAUGUCCUUCACACGAUGACGAUUUCAUUCAGGCGACGAGGAGUUCCUUCAGGCGGCUUCGUUUCCUUUGCCCGACAGUGCUUCUCACGGCGAAAUCGAAUUUCAAUGUAUGUAGAUGCCAUAUGAUUCAGGAGGAGUUCAGUUCUCCUAACCUUUAUGAGUUGCAGAAGCAUUUGGCGAAUGAGAAAUACAACAACAACAACACUCAUGCAGCAGAUGUCAAUGCCAAGGAAGAACCCGUAAGCUGCUAUAGCCACCCAACUUAAUCUCUUGCAGAAACAAAGAUUUAUUCAGCUACAACAGCAGCAGCAACAUAAAAAAUAGCAGCAUCAACAAUUUUCACCCCAGAAUGUGUGCCUGUCGUCUCACACAAUAUAUGUAUCGGCAGCAGCACAAAUCAGAGAUUGUCGGUUUCCAAGUUAUGACAAAGAGCAAAUUGACGAAGUAAGAACCGAGUGGGUGCGCCAUGUUGUUCAACAAUUGUGUAAUACAUAGGUUACAUUAAAGGAACCAACAAACGUACAACUCUAUUGACUAAUGUAUUUUGCGUUGUUUAAUGUUUAGAAUUUUAUUUUAGAUCUAUGUAAUCGGUUUUAUUAGGGUAAUAAUUGCAAAAAUCUUUUUAUUGAGGUUUGGAAAUUAAUAUUCAACUAUUUACUACUCUUCAAUAUAUAAUGUUAUUUUGUGGUAAAAAAUGAAAUAUUUUUAAGGCAUGCAGCGAUAUUACAAAUAAAAAGAAAAAA